UUCCGGUUGAUCCUGCCGGAGGUCACUGCUAUUGGGAUUCGAUUAAGCCAUGCGAGUCGAGAGGGUUCGGCCCUCGGCUGACGGCUCAGUAACACGUGGAUAAUCUGCCCUUAGGUGGAGGAUAAUCUCGGGAAACUGAGGACAAUACUCCAUAGGUUUAGGAGGCUGGAAUGCAUCUAGACUGAAAGCUCCGGCGCCUAAGGAUGAGUCUGCGGACUAUCAGGUAGUAGUCAGGGUAAAGACCUGACUAGCCUACGACGGAUACGGGUUGUGAGAGCAAUAACCCGGAGACGAUAUCUGAGACACGAUAUCGGGCCCUACGGGGCGCAGCAGGCGCGAAAACUUCACACUGUGCGAAAGCACGAUGAGGGAAUCCCAAGUGCUUGCUCGUAAGAGUAAGCUGUUUCUCUGUCUAAAACGCAGAGAGAGUAAGAGCUGGGUAAGACGGGUGCCAGCCGCCGCGGUAAUACCUGCAGCUCAAGUGGUGGCCGCUAUUAUUGGGCCUAAAACGUCCGUAGCCGGUUUAGUAAAUGCCUGGGUAAAUCGUGUAGCUUAACUAUACGAAUUCCGGGUAGACUGCUAAACUUGAGACCGGGAGAAGCCAGAGGUACUCCUAGGGUAGAGGUGAAAUUCUGUAAUCCUAGGGGGACCACCAGUGGCGAAGGCGUCUAGCUAGAACGGGUCUGACGGUGAGGGACGAAACCCUGGGGCGCAAACCGGAUUAGAUACCCGGGUAGUCCAGGGCGUAAACGCUGCUCGCUUGAUGUUAGUUGGGCUCCGAGC
rnacentral:rRNA from 1 species